rnacentral:rRNA from 1 species
UACAGGGGGUGCUAGCGUUGUUCGGAAUUACUGGGCGUAAAGGGCGCGUAGGCGGUUUUGUAAGUCAGGAGUGAAAUCCCGGAGCUUAACUUCGGAAUUGCUUUUGAAACUACAAGGCUAGAGUGAGUUAGAGGAUGGCGGAAUUCCUAGCGUAGUGGUGAAAUACGUAGAUAUUAGGAAGAACACCGGUGGCGAAGGCGGCCAUCUGGGACUCAACUGACGCUGAGGCGCGAAAGCGUGGGGAUCAAACAGG